AUUGAACGCUGGCGGCAGGCCUAACACAUGCAAGUCGAACGGUAACAGGAAACAGCUUGCUGUUUCGCUGACGAGUGGCGGACGGGUGAGUAAUGUCUGGGAAACUGCCUGAUGGAGGGGGAUAACUACUGGAAACGGUAGCUAAUACCGCAUAACGUCGCAAGACCAAAGAGGGGGACCCUCGGGCCUCUUGCCAUCGGAUGUGCCCAGAUGGGAUUAGCUUGUUGGUGGGGUAACGGCUCACCAAGGCGACGAUCCCUAGCUGGUCUGAGAGGAUGACCAGCCACACUGGAACUGAGACACGGUCCAGACUCCUACGGGAGGCAGCAGUGGGGAAUAUUGCACAAUGGGCGCAAGCCUGAUGCAGCCAUGCCGCGUGUAUGAAGUAGGCCUUCGGGUUGUAAAGUACUUUCAGCGGGGAGGAAGGGAGUAAAGUUAAUACCUUUGCUCAUUGACGUUACCCGCAGAAGAAGCACCGGCUAACUCCGU
rnacentral:rRNA from 1 species